rnacentral:lncRNA from 1 species
GAGAUUCAAAUGACUUGAUUAAAAUAAGUUCAACUAUUUAUUAAUUAUUUUUCAAACUUGGAAAUGAUUCAAUUGUACGUAUAGAAGCACAUGACUUCUAACAGAGUACAGAGAAAAACACGCAGCGCAUCAGUGGAUGGAUGGAUAUAUAUCAAGCAUUAGCAGAGCCAUCGGGGCUCUUAUUUGAAGGAAAGAACAGACAAACACCCUUUACAAUACAACCAUAAUUCCACCAUACACACUAAAUCACACACACUGACACACGUGCGCGGUGUCAUUUGUAGCUACGUAUACGUACGUACUACAAAUUAUUUAUACACAGAAAUAUAUAUAUAUAUAUAUAUAUCAAGCUUCCACCAGUGGAGGUAUAUAUGAUCAUUCAUAUCGAAAUGAAUCAGUCGCGGCCACCACCGGGCAGCUUCUCCUUAAUCUUUUCCAUCAUUCCUUUCUUCUCCUGGACGUGGUGCUGCUCGUCUCCUGCAGCAUAUCCUCCCCCUGCAGGUGAAUAAGUAGCCUGCUCCCCCUCCUUAUUGUGCCUCUUAAUCUUUUCCAUCAUUCCUUUCUUCUCGUGGCCGUGGUGCUGCUCUUCUCCUGCAGCAUAUCCUCCUCCUACAGGUGAAUAAAUAGCCUGCUCCCCCUCCUUAUUGUGCCUCUUAAUCUUUUCCAUCAUUCCUUUCUUCUCGUGGCCGUGGUGCUGCUCUUCUCCUGCAGCAUAUCCUCCUCCUACAGGUGAAUAAAUAGCCUGCUCCCCCUCCUUCUUGUGCCCGCCAACACCCGGUAACUUCUCCUUUAUCUUCCCUUUUAUCCCUUUCUUCUUCCUCCCUCCCAUUCCAUCAUCCUCG